UGCAUCGUCAAGUUCUUGUGAUCAGUUAUCUCCUUUAUGGUCAAUCUCUCUUGCAAAGGAUAUCUUCUUAUGAUUUCUUUGAUUAUUAAGACAACAGGAUGGAAUAUUUUCUCACCAAAGAACUUUCUCCUGGCAUUCCUGUUGGGUUUGGGUACUUUCUGGUUUUCUUUGUAGAAGCUGCCACCAGAACUUGAGGGCCGAUGCUGCAAAGUUGCUAUAUGCUGUAUUAGAGAGAGCUGACUUAAUGGUGAUCCAUCAUUUGAGGCUCUACUAAGAAAAGCUUUCGCAUCCAAGUUGCAUAAUUUUACUUUUAUUUAUUCAUUGUUUAUGCAUAUUUGCAUGCUUAUCAUUACUUAUGUUGGUUAACUGCUGACUGCAAAAUGAAGAGGGAAAAAUAUCUUUGUUAUGUAAAACUAAAGAUGUUUUUUCUCUGCUUAAUGUUUCAAGUUUUGCCAAUGUGAUAUUAUUGUUCUUGUGCUAAUUCAUAAGCUCGAUGCAUAAGCUAUUUCAUCCUUAGGACCAUUCGAGUAUUUAUCAUCUCUUCUCAUUAUUCUGAGUUAAACCAUUAUUGUUGUGAUUAAAGGAAAAAAGCUACAGUUGGAAAAUGAAACAUGGUGGAUGGUUUGAAGAUAAGAGAAUUAGAGUGCAGUAGCAUUCAAUUCUCAAACAAAGAAUGGGAAGUAUUGCCAUACACUUACAUCACCUGAAGGAGAGAAGCAUUACGAGAAAGCAAAGAACAGGCUGCCGUUUAGAGCUGAUGGUGCAAUACAGUGAGAUCAAUAAGCUUAGAAGCUCGCUGGUUUCGUUGCUUCUAUCAUGAGUUCACAAGAUCAAAGGCAACAAAUAGCUAAUUGCUAAUUAAAUUAUGUCAAAG